GCAGUUCAGUUGGUAACAACAACGUUAGGUGAUGUUCCAUAUCCCUGAGCUGUAAGGAGAACUCCUGUCCUCGCUGCCCCGCCAUCCUGCUCUGAUGCCUGUUGAAGCUCCAGAGGCAAACCAUCUGAACUGUGCGCAUGGGCCAAGUUAUUGCCUGAGAUUGGCAAGUGUUUCUUGCAACAGAUUCUUUGGUGCCAAACUCUCUGACUGUAGCAGAAAGAGCAGGGACUCCUCUGUUGGGAAUGGAUAUCGCCAGAGAGCACUGCGUAGAAGUCAUGUGCUGCAAUGUGCACACUCCAGAGUGAACUGGUCAGAGCCUUCCCUGUGGAUCUGCCCAGUAAGCAGUGCUUUAUUUUUUAAUAUGCUUAAGAGUUGCAGUGUUCACAGACAGAACGUAAUGUCAAGCCACUACUGCAACCUCCUGCAUAUCACAGACAACAGUAAUUAAAUUCUGUUGUCGCUUCUUUUUUUGGUUUAACAAGUUGUUUCUUUUGUUUUGACAAAACCGUGCCUGCAGUCCGCUCCUCAUUUUCCUUUGGAAUUGUCGAAGAUGGAGAUUUCACUUUCCCUUUGAGAGCUGAUUCCAGUGGUUACUCAAUUCAUGUGUUAAAAUACAGUGCCUAAUUUCUGAUUCAAACUCUUCUGCCUUCAGCUUCUAGCAACUGCCUCUUGUAUGCCCUUCCCAGUUCUAUCAGGUAACUGUUUAGUAGCCUGCAUUUUUUCAACACGAAGGUACUUAAUGGCUGUAAUCGAGCCCCAGUUUUUGGCUUCCCGUUCAAGCCACUGAGCUGUCACUGCUGCAGCUAAAGCCAUCACUGCCAGCAUUCCGCCUUCGCUGCGGCACAGGGGCACCAUGCUGGACACAGCCCCGCCAGCUGCUCCUCAUUCCUGCAGGGCCACAGUCUCAUCUCUGGGAUGGCAGGACUGGCAAGAAGAGCUGGAGGAUUCUGCUUCCUCCACCAACAUUGUCUUGCGUUGUUCUGCCAACCAGACAAUGUUCUUUUCUGUGCUUUUUAAAUACAAAACCAUAAAUGCAUAAGGAAUAAAACGCUCUAAUUUAUUCUACA
rnacentral:lncRNA from 1 species